CCGGACUUGGGCGGUCACACAGCGAUUCUGCACGGCUGUCCGAACUUGGACUGGGUGGGGGCUAAGGGGAGCCACCAGCUACACCAAAGGGUCUGUGCGUCAUCCUGGAAAAUGAAGAUAACACGCUGGAUUAAAAACAGCGGCAGAGACAUGCCAGGUGAGCUGGGACAGGUGGAUUUUACCUUCCACCCCCAUCCACACCCAAGAACCCCAUUAUAUCCUGCAUUCAGCUCAGCGUGUACCAACAAGAAUCCUGCAUUCCCAGCACAUCACAAGCUACUCAAGGCAACAUUUUACCACAAAGAUUCCCCAAUCUGCAACAAACUGGUAAAAUAAAGUGAUUUUCCAGCACACAUGAACCACAACAUGGCUGUUUUGAAAGGAAAUGUGAUCACACUGUUCCCCAUGGUGGCUAUCAGGGAUCAAUGGCUACAGCCACUCCUGUUGGACCAGAUCGAGCUCUGGAGCCUGACUUAAAGAGAAGGAGCUGCUGGGAGAGCCUGGAGUUACCUCAUCCCUGCAAAAACUUCAUCAGAACCUUUUAAAGCCCAAUGAAUCGGUCCUACAUUGUUUCUGAAGCAAGACAGAAGGCACAGGCUCAGCACAUCCAGGUUUCUGCAGCUAUUUUCCUUCUGUUAAAGCACACCAGGGCAUCCAUUUGGAUAAAGCCAGUUGCUCUCAUCUUAAAGAUCUGGGAUGUUGGAAAUACAAAUGGCAGGAGGGUUGGAAAUGUCCUGAGGUCAGCACUGUGACAGAGAAAGGAAACUUGGAACAGAUGCACAACAGGUGAAUGAACGGAUUCAGCUUUACUUUCACUUCUGGUAAACUAGCAGCUACAGCCUUUUGCUUUGCCAAUUUUUAUGAAAUUCACUUGAAGUUGGUUGCAUUGAAGAGAGAGAAGAGUCCUCAUCUGGGAUUCAGAGGAAAUGCAGCACUGUCAUUGUAAUGCUGCAUUUUGGCCAGCUCUGGGGAUCUGAAGGCAGAAGAGAGACUAUCGAAAAAACUGGAUCUUGAGCACAUUUAGUGUUAAAAAAAUUUCACCGUAGAAUCCUGGUGUGACCUGUUUGUGCAUAACACUGUGAGAAGGACCACACUUUCCUAGGUAAGAAGAUAAACAUGUGGGUACAGAUUUGCCACCCUAAUUGUGUCCUUAACCUGAGAAGGAUAAUUUAAAUGCUAAAGAAUAUGACUUGGAAUAAAACUAGAAGGCGAAGUUUGGCACUUUAAUAUAAAGCCUAUGGGUAUCCAGAGGAAGGCAUUCAAACUCAACUCCAGAUUGUCCUAAUUUUAUUUGACUUGGUUAAUCAAUUUUAAAGCAUUUUUUACAAUUUACAUAAUUUAAAGGAGCACACUGCAUCCUAUAAAUAUAAAUUAACAUUUUUAAUAACUCAAGACAUCACAACAAAGCCAAAUUUUGAAAUAAAUUUCACGUUUAGUUAUCUGGAUCAAGAAGUAACAUACAUGGGGAGGGAAAAAACAGCAUUAACAAGAAAACACUGUUUAGUUCUAAACUAAGUUUGUGCUUCUACAUCAAAAACACAACACUGAAGUGACAGGAACUCUGCAAAGAACUUGAAAAGGUAUAUAACUGCUUAGUCCCAAAACCAAAGUACAUGUUUAUUUUUUCUUCUACAUGUUAUUUUUUUCAGUUCUAUCAAAUUAGCAUUAAUGGUAGAGGGACAGAAGUACAAUAUACUAACUUUACUGCAAAUACAAAUUCUGUUGUAGCAGUUUGUUAGCUUGUUUUGGCUUAAACUGAAAUGCUUCUCCUGCAUGAAAAACAAGAGCAUAUCUCUUCAAUGUAUUUAAUAAUCAACACAUUUGUUAGUACAAAGCAGAUGGUGUUCAGCAGGAAGGCAUUAUGUGAUCAUUUGAAAACACCAUGCUUUUUUUUUUUUUUUGCCUUUUUUUUUUAAAAAAAAAAACAAAAAAACAAAAAACACUAAGCCACCCUGAAGUUUUGUGAAGGCCAGAUGUUCAAAGCUGGUGCACAGAUGAAAACUGCACAUCCAUGAUCUCUGCAUGGAACUAUCCAGAACCUGGCAGGUGUUAUCAUACACCAUUAGUUAUCUGCAUGCUUUCUCACAUCAAAACCAAAUCAUGUUUCACUAAACUUUGAAAAUCUGGUCUUAGCUAAAAAUAAACACUUUACUUCACUCCAUUAAUUUAACAAAGGGUAUUAAUCCAUCUUCUGAUUUUUGGUUGAGGACUAAAAAUAAGAGCGGGAUAUCAUAAUCCUAAUAAUUGUGUCCAAAUCUUCAAAACAAUUACUAUUUGUUUUCAAAACAGCAAAAAAAAAUCUCAUAAUUCUCAAAGCAUUUUUGUAAUUAUUAAAUGUUAAAUAAAUAAAUUUAUCAAAUGUAUAUUUAUAUUUACUACAGAUUAUGUUUUGAAGCAAAUCUCAGAACAACUUCAGAAAGCUUUUUUAAAAUAGAGUUGCUUUAGGGCUAGACCUAAAAUAAUUACAUAUUAGGGCAAAAGAUGGAGUUAGAGAGUCAGCCUUUGAAUGCUUCUUAAAAAUAGGUGCUUCGAAUACAGGUUUAGAAAUGAAAUUUAAAAACCAUGUUUUCAGUCACACUGAAGAAAACAUCUGCAAAGAAAAAAGGCCCUCAUCCUUAAGACUGAAGAAAAAGAUGGUAAGGAGAAAAAAAAAAAAAAAAAAAAAAGCACCGUUUUCCCAAGUUGCCCAAAUCACACACAGACACAGGAAGGUUACAAAUGCCAUUCAUGAAAGAAUGCACCACAAACAUCAGCAUUUAUUCAUUUUGAAUUUUUUUUUUUUUUAGCAAAUGACAAAAGACUCAGCUCACUGGCUUCACUUUUGUUUACCUUUUGCUUACAUUACACAUUUAAACAUUUGUCAAAACUUACUAAAGUUGUCUGCAUUCAUGCACAACUAGAAAACAUCCUUAAUUUAUUUAAACCAGAAAUGCAUUACCAGAAAUGUAUUAACAUUGUUCACUACUAAACAUUAAAAAAAAAAAAAAAAAAA